GUUCUGGUCAGUGCUCUCUGGGUCUGUAGAGUGGGGGGUGUUCUGGUCAGUGUUCUCUGGGUCUGGACUGGUUGAAGCUCCCAGAUGAAGUCUUCCUGGCUCCAGAGGUCUGUAGAGUGGGGGGUGUUCUGGUCAGUGUUCUCUGGGUCUGGACUGGUUGAAGCUCCCAGAUGAAGUCUUCCUGGCUCCAGAGGUCUGUAGAGUGGGGGGUGUUCUGGUCAGUGCUCUCUGGGUCUGGACUGGUUGAAGCUCCCAGAUGAA